GUGAAUCAUCAAAUUUUUGAACGCAAAUUGCACUCCCUGGUAUUCCGGGGAGUAUGCCUGUUUGAGGGUCGUUAGAAUAAAAAAUCGAGGCAUCGCUCUUUUUUUGAGGGUGAUCGCUUCGGAAUUGUGCCGUCUUUCAAAUGUUAAUUCAUGUCAAAGUGGUCUAAAAUUCAUUCAUCCGGUACGAUUAAAGCGUAUUUAAGAUCAACUUUGAUUAAGCACGCGCGAUGCAC
rnacentral:misc_RNA from 1 species